AUUGAACGCUGGCGGCAGGCCUCACACAUGCAAGUCGAACGAGUGGCGGACGGGUGAGUCAUGUCUGGGAAACUGCCCGAUGGAGGGGGAUAACUACUGGAAACGGUAGCUAAUACCGCAUACUAUCGGAUGUGCCCAGAUGGGAUUAGCUAGUAGGUGGGGUAAAGGCUCACCUAGGCGACGAUCCCUAGCUGGUCUGAGAGGAUGACCAGCAACACUGGAACUGAGACACGGACCAGACUCCUACGGGAGGCAGCAGUGGGGAAUAUUGCACAAUGGGCGAAAGCCUGAUGCAGCCAUGCCGCGUGUAUGAAGAAGGCCUUCGGGUUGUAAAGUACUUUCAGCGGGGAGGCGGUACCCGCAGAAGAAGCACCGGCUAACUCCGUGCCAGCAGCCGCGGUAAUAC
rnacentral:rRNA from 1 species